UGGUUUUGAUGAGUGGCAUCUAAAUUGAUUAAGAAUAUAUGCCGAAUCAUUUUGUCUUUCAUAAAAUUCUGCAGUUACAUUAAUUUGUUAGAUAAACAUAUUAGUAUUUUUGUUCAUUCAAAAGAAAAAAUUGAUGAGUGGCAUCUAAAUUGAUUAAGAAUAUAUGCCGAAUCAUUUUGUCUUUCAUAAAAUUCUGCAGUUACAUUAAUUUGUUAGAUAAACAUAUUAGUAUUUUUGUUCAUUCAAAAGAAAAAAAUAUAUUUUAUAAGCUAAAAAUGAAACAUACCUGAGUGUACUGCAUUCAAUUCUGCCUUUAGAAUGUCUUUUGAAAAAGUAGAUAGAAUUAAACCAUCAGCAACCAACACUCAAGGACUCCUCAACCUCAUAAACACAUGUUCUUAACAACCUCAACAACCAUGUUCAACUAUAACAACACCAUAAUCAUAGAAAACAUGGUUAACUCAUGAUUCAUGGGAAUAUUUCAUGAAUAACUUAUAUUGUUAUGAAUAUAUGUGAUUAACCUCCAUAUCUUCAACAAUAAAACACAUCAAAAUUAAACACCCAAGUAUCACAAUUUCAACAACAACAACAUGAUAUCAACACAUAGCAUGGAUGAGGAGUAUGAACACAACAAGUUAUGUUAUGAAUUCAUGUGAUUACCCUCCAUAUCUUCAACAAUAAAACACAUCAAAAUUAAACACCCAAGUAUCACAAUUUCAACAACAACAACAUAAUAUCAACACAUAGCAUGGAUGAGGAGUAUGACCACAACAAGUUCAUCACAAAUUCACACAAAUCCUACCCCCUAAACAUAGGUUAUUUUCCCCCAAAGGCUAAAUCUAUCUAAGAACUCACCUAGUAGAAGAAUAAGAUGAAGUUGGUGAGGAUGAUGAGUAGAAAAUGGUGAUGAUUAGUUUUUCCUUUUCUCCUCCAAGCCUUUCUUCCUUCUUUCUCUCUUCUUCUUUCUUCUCUUUUCCUCUUCUCUACUCUUCCCUUUCUUCUUUUCUUUCUUUCUGAUAACUCUUUUUCUCUUACUACCUACUCUUCUUAUCCUUUUCUUUCUCUUUCUCUU
rnacentral:lncRNA from 1 species